UCAACUAGUAAUGCAUCCCAUUAAUAAAUCUUAUACAAGAUCCCAAUAUCAUCAUUCAAUAACCAACAUAGUAAAAUAUCUAAUUAACUAAUAUAACACUCCACUUAAUAAAUCCUUGACAAAACCCUCUUUUCGCUCAUCAGGAAGCCUAAAGAAAACCACCAUCCUCCUCACGAGCAAGCUCGCACAUGACCUUGUUACAUUCACUAUCAGUUAGACCGGACACAUUACUCAAACACAUUAUUGAGAUUUUUGCGUUGCUCAUUUAAUGAAGCCUCCAUUCCAAGAAAGUUAGCAAAUUGAGUAGAUGAUUCAACACAUCAUUUGUUCGAUCAUUUCUGCAGCCGAUAGAGAAUCUUUCCCAGUUGCUCUAUCCUUGCCAAACAUAUAACAUAGAUCCAAAUAAUUUAGAAAUGUCUUAUUCUGCCACUUUGCUCUCUUUUGGUGCACCUAAAACAAGUUAGAGAAAAGGUCAUCAAAAAAGUUACAAGCAAGACAUAUAUAAUAGUACACAAACCCCUUAACUUAAAUAAACAAUUAAAAAGAAUCUAGCUGGAGUAGUCAGACAACAAAUUUCACACAACCAUGAAAACACCACUCACUGGAUGUCUCCUAACCCCAGAACUUUUGAUUAUCAUAUGCAACAUGAAUAUCCAGACUAUACUAAUGCACCAGGAAUAUCCAAACAUAUACCAAGGCAUAUAAACAUCACAAUGGCAGAGCAAAAAACAGAGGGAUAAGCAAUUAAAAUAUCACAGUUGAUAUCACACAACUGCAGGUACACAGUAAAAAAUAAAGUAUAAGCACUUAAGUCUACAGUUUAAAAUGAAAAUGCCCAAAACUAAUUUUGCUACUGCAAACACAAUGUACCACUUUUAAUACAUAUAUGGCACUGGCACAACACUACAAUGCAUCCCAUGAAAGAUGAAACUGCAAUGGAACUAAAAUUUCAUUGAAUAUACACAUGUAGUAGUUGCACAUAAAAUAUAAACACACACACACACAUAGAUAUAAACUUCUCGUGAUUAAUGCAAAUUGCUAAUUAGAUUUAUAAUAGAAACCCUUGAUCUUCACAUAAACCAAACAACCAAGUAGCUGAUUAACAAUUUCAAAAACAAAAUGAACUGAAGCCUGAAAGUGGGACUUGGUCAUAGAAUUUCAACAAAUGAACAUUACAUCCGAAGCAUACCAUAUUUCCAGUUAAAGUUCUUAAACAAAGUACACUGUUACAACAGAAAAAUGUUGAUAUCGCAGCAGCUAAACUAAACUAAGUAUGGCAAAAUAAAAUCAAUGAAAGUUGAAACAUAAAAGAGCUAUCAAAUUUAUAGUAGUAAAAUGAGUUUACCUGGUGUAAUUGUGAAAAUAUAUACACAUCCCAUGCCAUUCAAAUCUGUAAAUUUUAGUAUGCUACAAAAUUGUUUCAUUUGUUAUGUUAAAUUCAUAAAUUGAGUCCACAAUUUCUAUCAAUAUCCAAUUAAUUUACAUGAAACUCAUCGAAUAUCAUCAGAAAAAAAUAAAAAGGAGAAAAAAAAUCAAGUCUAAAUCCACUGAAGAAGGAAGACGAACUAGAACAAAUUACUUGUCAUAAAAUAACAAGUCAAAAUCACCACAAAAUCAAAGCAAAAAAUACGAUCAAAAAGUUUAUCUCCAUUUAUAGAUGGAUAUAUAUCAAUAAUCAAAAAUCAUACCAGAAUUAUAAAGAGACUUGGAAGCGAUUUGAUUCAAUUCAAAGCUUUGGAAGAACUUGAUAAUUACCUGAUAAAUAGAAAGAAAGAAAAAAAACGAAUAGCCAAGGAUCUGAGAUCUGAUAAAUUUGAGAUGAAAUCAAUCUGUG
rnacentral:lncRNA from 1 species